UACGUAGGACCCAAGCGUUAUCCGGAGUGACUGGGCGUAAAGAGUUGCGUAGGCGGCUCGUAAAGCGAAUAGUGAAAUCUGAUGGCUCAACCAUCAACACAUUGUUCGAACUCACGAGCUCGAGAAUGGUAGAGGUGGCUGGAAUUUCCUGUGUAGGAGUGAAAUCCGUAGAUAUAGGAAGGAACACCAAUGGCGUAGGCAGGCCACUGGACCAUUUCUGACGCUGAGGCACGAAAGCGUGGGGAGCGAACCGG
rnacentral:rRNA from 1 species